UCUAUAGUAUGGAAUUGAUAUCUUCUUGGUUGAAUUACUUGCUAUUUACUCAUGAGAUUUGAAGUGUUGUAUUCUAAUGACUGAUUUGAUUGGAAGCUACAGAUUUUGAAAUGAGGUAUUUCUUCCUUAAAAAUGUUUAUCAAUUAUGUUGUUUGAUAAUUAAAAAAAAAAUGAGUUUUCUAACCCUAAACCCUCUAAUAUCUGAGUAUAUUGUUGAAUCUUUUGGGUGUUUUGUUGAGAUUCAUUUUAGGGUAGAGCUUUUUGUAAUUUAACGAUAACUAUAGAAAUAUUACGGAGUACCAUUGUUUUAUUCUAUUUUGAGCUUAUAAGAGCUGCAUAUUUGACUUUUGGAAUGGGAAUUGAUUUGAAGAACAAAUUUUUUUCAGUUUCAAACCUUAUAAUCCUGUUUCUAUGUUUCCUGUUUGUAUUAUCUGUUACUGCUCCUUUAUCAUGUUUUAUGGAAUAUAUACAUCUACCUUGAUUUCCUCUUCCACCUUGAUGCAAAAUCGAGGUGACAGGGUGUUAAAAGGUUCUUAAGGGAAAGGCCAUCCAUGGUUGAAGAAGGGCAAUGGAUAUACCAUACACCCACCUAAAUGAGGUCAGUUUCUUGACUUACUGGUUACCAAUUGGUUUGGUAGAUUGGCAGGUGUUGUUUGUGUUUAUCAUUGUGGUUGUGUGUUUGUUUGACUUAUGUCUGAAAUAUAUAUAUAUAUAUAUAUAUAUAUUCAGCUAUUACUUUGUGGUUUUCAAAUGCCUCGAAGCCAUUCUUUUCAGCUUUAAAAUUUUUAUUUUCAGUUUAUUCUUUUGCUUAAUUUUUUGUCUUUGGUUUUUUUAACUGUUUGCUGAAAAACUAUGUAAGAGAGUUGAAUUUUGCACAGAUUUAAAUAUCUGGGGAAUCUUGCAUAAAUUCAUUUACUCAUGUUUAUUCUUUUGUCUUCCUCAUUUAAUAUUGUUAUGCAAGAGAGUGAAUUUAACAAGAUAUCAUUUCUAUGUCCUCCUGUUUGCGUUGCUAUUUAUUAUACAGGAUAUCAAUUUAUUUUCUUUCCUCAGUUUCUUCUCUGUCCUCUUCUUUGUUUUUUAUUUGCUUAAUCGUUUGCUUUAUCACAUAACCAUUAGGAAAAUGUCUUCAUUCUCAUCUUGACAAUAAUAACUAAUGUUAACACAAGUAUUAUCUAAACAAUUAAUAUAUCCUAAAAUUAUCAGUUGCAAAAUAAUGCAUACAUUGUAUGAAAUCUUUCUUCUGAACAAAAGCAAUGUAGAGAUUUUCUUAAUUUGAUUUUGCUUUUUCCAUUUGCCUUCAUUUGGAAUGGAUGAAGAUGUACAAGAUUGCAUCAUUGUUCAUAGUGAAUUGUAUUAUUUUAUUAUGCAGAAUAUUGUUUCAAAUGCAUGUUCACCCUUAAAUCCAUAUUAUCUUUGUGGUUUUCAUUAAAUUACUACAUUUCUUUGGGCACUUCUCUGUCUCUGUGAUUCUUAUUUUCAUUGUCAAGUAAACAUUUUAUGUAUGAUUAUCUUGGUAGUGACCUAUUGUUUCUUCGUUUAGCAUUUUGAACUAUUUGAAAAUUUUAACUAUGUUUAUAUGAAGAUGCUGAUUCUUCCUUUCAAUCAUGUGACAUAUCAAUAAUAGUCUUUAAUUUUCUGAGAUUGAUUCAAUGGCAGCAAAGGAAGAUUGAUGUAACAAUUAGCAGGGAGUUGCUAUAGGAUUCUAUGCAAUGAAGUGUUUCCACUACUUCAACAACAAAAUAAAUGAGGUGGGAACGAAGAUUGCUGCAUAAUUGAAAGAACAUAGGAAAUCUGAUUAUUCAGGAGCUGAAUAUGGUCAUUAAGUCUUCAUGCUCAACAAAAUCACCCCACACUGUAAACCGGAAUUUGUAUAUGAAGUUAGGUUUCAAAUAUGUUAAUGAGAUAUGAGUACAUGCUGUUUUGUGUAGUAUCCUGGUAUUUGUAGGUAUUUUUAAUGGCGAUUUUAUAUGGUUAAUUUUACUUAAAAAUACAGGAAUGGGUCGACUGUGUAGCAAAUGGAGAUGCUAGCAUGUUGAAAAUAAAAAUAGAUGCGACAGAAAAAUAG
rnacentral:lncRNA from 1 species